GUCAAAGUCAGACGAAGGCUUCUACAUGUGUCGAUACGCAGAAAAAAAGUCAGCACAGAGUUGGUUGUCAGUAAAAUCAGCAUCCAGUCCUGGAAAAAUGAACAGAUCAUCUAUUCUGCUACUGAUCAUUGGGUUGGUUUGUGGGAUUGUUGUGUUCAUUCUCCUGCUGCUAUUCUGUUGCUGCAUGAAGUCCAAAGAUUCAAGCUUUGCAAGGUCGGUACAAGUCUUUUGAACUUGAAAGCAGUACUAAUUUAAAAUGUCUUCUAUAUUUUAUACCAUGUGUUAUUUCUAUUUUUUUUUUUACUUUAU